rnacentral:misc_RNA from 1 species
UCCGGCUUGUCGCCGGCGGUCCCUCUAGAGUGCCCAACUGAAUGAUGGCAACUAAAGGCGAGGGUUGCGCUCGUUGCGGGACUUAACCCAACAUCUCACGACACGAGCUGACGACAGCCAUGCAGCACCUGUCUCUGCGUCCCUUGCGGGAAAACUCCCAUUACGGAGCGGUCGCAGGAUGUCAAACCCUGGUAAGGUUCUUCGCGUAGCCUCGAAUUAAACCACACGCUCCACCGCUUGUGCGGGUCCCCGUCAAUUCCUUUGAGUUUUAGCCUUGCGGCCGUACUCCCCAGGCGGGAUGCUUAACGCGUUAGCUUCGCUACUGAAGGGGUCGAUUCCUCCAACAGCUAGCAUCCAUCGUUUACGGCGUGGACUAC